AGUAAUGCAUCGGAACGUGCCCAUCGGAUGGGGGAUAACUGCGCGAAAGCGUUGCUAAUACCGCAUACGACCUACGGGUGAAAGCAGGGGACCGCAAGGCCUUGCGUCGAUGGAGCGGCCGAUGCCGGAUUAGCUAGUUGGUGAGGUAAAGGCUCACCAAGGCGACGAUCCGUAGCUGGUCUGAGAGGACGACCCAGCCACACUGGGACUGAGACACGGCCCAGACUCCUACGGGAGGCAGCAGUGGGGAAUCUUGGACAAUGGGCGAAAGCCUGAUCCAGCAAUGCCGCGUGUGGGAAGAAGGCCUUCGGGUUGUAAACCACUUUUGGCGGGAAAGAAAUGGUCUGUGCUAAUACCACGGAUUGAUGACGGUACCCGCAGAAUAAGCACCGGCUAACUACGUG
rnacentral:rRNA from 1 species